rnacentral:rRNA from 1 species
GGCGAACGCUGGCGGCGUGCUUAACACAUGCAAGUCGAGCGGAAAGGCCCUUCGGGGUACUCGAGCGGCGAACGGGUGAGUAACACGUGAGUAAUCUGCCCUUGGCUUUGGGAUAACUACCGGAAACGGUGGCUAAUACCGGAUACGACAACCGUCUGCAUGGGCUGGUUGUGGAAAGUUUUUUCGGCCAGGGAUGUGCUCGCGGCCUAUCAGCUUGUUGGUGGGGUAAUGGCCUACCAAGGCUUCGACGGGUAGCCGGCCUGAGAGGGUGACCGGCCACACUGGGACUGAGACACGGCCCAGACUCCUACGGGAGGCAGCAGUGGGGAAUAUUGGACAAUGGGCGGAAGCCUGAUCCAGCAACGCCGCGUGAGGGAUGACGGCCUUCGGGUUGUAAACCUCUUUCAGUACCGACGAAGCGCCGAUGAUGGUGGUGACGGUAGGUACAGAAGAAGCACCGGCCAACUACGUG